AUUGAACGCUGGCUGCAGGCCUAACACAUGCAAGUCGAACGAGUGGCGGACGGGUGAGUAAUGUCUGGGAAACUUCCUGAUGGAGGGGGAUAACUACUGGAAACGGUAGCUAAUACCGCAUACCAUCGGAUUUGCCCAGAUGGGAUUAGCUAGUAGGUGGGGUAAAGGCUCACCUAGGCGACGAUCCCUAGCUGGUCUGAGAGGAUGACCAGGCAGACUGGAAGUGAGAAACGGUCCAGACGCAUACGGGAGGCAGCAGGGGGGAAUAUUGCAAAAUGGGCGGAAGCCUGAUGCAGCCAUGCCGCGUGUAUGAAGAAGGCCUGCGGGUUGUAAAGUACUGUCAGCGGGGAGGCGGUACACGAAGAAGAAGCACCGGCUAACUCCGUGUCAGCAGCCGCGGUAAUAC
rnacentral:rRNA from 1 species